CCUACGGGUGGCAGCAGUGGGGAAUAUUGGGCAAUGGGCGCAAGCCUGACCCAGCAACGCCGCGUGAAGGAAGAAGGCUUUCGGGUUGUAAACUUCUUUUGUCAGGGAAGAGUAGAAGACGGUACCUGACGAAUAAGCCACGGCUAACUACGUGCCAGCAGCCGCGGUAAUACGUAGGUGGCAAGCGUUGUCCGGAUUUACUGGGUGUAAAGGGCGUGUAGCCGGGUUGACAAGUCAGAUGGGAAAUCCUGCGGCUUAACCGCAGAACUGCAGUUGAAACUGUUGAUCUUGAGUACUGGUGAGGCAGACGGAAUUCCUAGGGUAGCGGUGAUAUGCGUAGAUAUUAGGAGGAACACCAGUGGCGAAGGCGGUCUGCUGGACAGCAACUGACGGUGAGGCGCGAAAGCGUGGGGAGCAAACAGGAUUAGAUACCCUUGUAGUC
rnacentral:rRNA from 1 species